rnacentral:tRNA from 1 species
GGAGAAGUGGAUAACCUACUGAAAAAUAUGUGUAGGAUAAUGUCUGAGUAUACCAGAAGAUUGUGGUAUCAUAUUGAUUUUAAAUGAUAUUUCCCCGGUCUUGAAAACCGGCGACCCGAAAGGGUUCUAGAGUUCGAAUCUCUACGCUUCCGCCA